rnacentral:rRNA from 1 species
GGGGAAUAUUGCGCAAUGGGGGAAACCCUGACGCAGCAACGCCGCGUGAAGGAUGAAGGUUUUCGGAUUGUAAACUUCUUUGAUUGGGGACGAUAAUGACGGUACCCAAAAAACAAGCCACGGCUAACUACGUGCCAGCAGCCGCGGUAAUACGUAGGUGGCAAGCGUUGUCCGGAAUUACUGGGUGUAAAGGGCGUGUAGGCGGGGAUGCAAGUCAGAUGUGAAAUUCCGGGGCUCAACCCCGGCACUGCAUCUGAAACUGUGUCUCUUGAGUGCUGGAGAGGAAAGCGGAAUUCCUAGUGUAGCGGUGAAAUGCGUAGAUAUUAGGAGGAACACCAGUGGCGAAGGCGGCUUUCUGGACAGUAACUGACGCUGAGGCGCGAAAGCGUGGGUAGCGAAC